GAUAUGUAUGUAAUAUUUAUCAGCAUCAAAUAUAUAAUUUGGUUAUUAGAGAAAAAAAAAAACAAACAGUUAAAAUUCCAUUAUUGAUACGUUUACAAGAUAAUUGAUAUGUAUAAAGUUGCAUAUUAUUAUACGAUUAUUGGGCGAAUCCACUGUAGACUAUUAUUAUAUUAAUAUACCUACAUAAAUGUAUAUUUAUAUAUUUAUUAAAAACAUUUGGCUAAACUAUAUAAUAGUGAAUAAUAAUUUAAACUAAAAAGAGAACAAUAUAACACGUAAUAUCGUGAAACUAAUAUAAUAUACAUAUAGGUAAAUAUAAUUAUGUAAAUAUUAAAAUAUAUGUUAUAUGGCGUAUACAUUAUGAUAAUAAAGAUAAUACAGGUAAUAUAAUUGUAUAAUAAUAAUGCCUUUGUCAUAUGGGUGCACUUCGAUUAUUUUACCACAUUUUAGUAGGUAGGUACCGUAUAAUAUAAUACAGUAGAUAGGUAUGUAGGUACCCGCGGAACCGGACGUUUCACGGUGAACUAUAUUCGGCGUGAAGUGUAAUUGUUUUAAUUAUUACCGUUUUACGCGUAUUAGGUAUUGCCGUUUAACGUCAUUUCAACGCAAUAAAUGCAUCAUGUAAACGACACAAAUAUCGACGUAAAUCUACGAUUCGAUUUACAAAUGGCCGUUCACCAUUACCGCCAUAAUGCUAUUUUCCAACUAGUCACUGACUCCUUACGUUCCUUAAUUCAUUCGUGAGAUGGCACGGAUGGUAUCCAAGAUGGCGUCAUCACAGAGUAAUGUUACUCCAUACGAGUCGGCUGGCGGUGAGAUGUGGUUGUUAUCAGCGAUACCGCCGCUGAUGAAUUCAGAAACACAGGGGCAUUCGCCGUAAUACGCGCAUCUCGUUCGUAUUCUGUUUACAGUAUUGUAUGGUAUUGCUCGUAGUAUUUGUCAGGCUAAAAUAACGGCAAACGAUAAUUAUGGGCGAAAUGUCGCACACAUCUGAACAAUUACAUCCCGCGCCAACACCGGGCUUCCACGCCGAAACGGCCACCCCGAAACGUCCGUAGACCGUAGCACCCGUUAUGUAACGAGUAUUGGUGGAACAAUAUUGAAAAACAAAAAUAAAUAUCUAACAAUGUAAAUCCGCCUCAAAUCAUGGUAAAGUAUGACGUUGUUGUAAUAAUUAUAUAAUUUUAACGAACAGUAUAGUAUAGGUAUGUAUAUAAGUAUAAUUAUAAUGUAUAUAGGUAGUAUAUAAUAUAUAAUAAUGCUCCGUCGUAUAUAAUAAUAUAUAGGUAUAUAUCACAAAAUAUUAAAAAUAAUUAAAAAAAAAUAAUAUUACUUAAAAAUUACGAUUAAUAUUAUAUUU